rnacentral:rRNA from 1 species
GGACUACUGGGGUAUCUAAUCCUGUUUGCUCCCCUAGCUUUCGUUCCUCAGCGUCAGUAGUGGUCCAGCGCGCCGCUUUCGCCACGGGUGUUCCUGCAGAUAUCUACGCAUUUCACCGCUACACCUGCAAUUCCACGCGCCUCUCCCACACUCAAGCACGGCAGUUUCGGAAGCAGCCUAUGGGUUAAGCCCAUAGAUUUCACUCCCGACUUGCCACACCGCCUACGAACCCUUUACACCCAGUAAUUCCGAACAACGCUGGCCCCCUACGUCUUACCGCGGCUGCUGGCAC